rnacentral:tRNA from 1 species
GGGGUUUUAGCUCAGUGGCACAGCAUCUGCCUUGCAAGUGCAAGGUCCUGAGUUCGAUCCCCGGUACCCCCC